AAUCAAUGCCAGGUGUCACUGCCGUUGACACCCCUGCUUGCUGACGACAAAUGUGCCAUUGAAUUCAUGGUCAUCCGAAGUCUCAGUUUCCUCGUCUCUAAGGAUGAAGCUCACACUGAACUGGAAAAGAGGAAAGAGCAAAGGAUAGCAAGCUGGGGAAAUUAGGGGCCACAUGCUCCAUCUCAUGGUUCUGAAUAAUGAGAAAAUGGGCAGAGCAAAGGGGCAAAUAAAGAAGGAUCUACUUGUUCACAACUGUGCUCCUAUCCUCUGAAGCAUGUUGUUGAAGCCUUGGAGACAUCAUUAAUUUCUCUCGCUACCUUCCUCAAGCCUGAGUGGCCAGCCUUGGAAAGGUGCAGCCGGUGUUCUGCUGUUACAGACGACUCUAGAGCCCAUACUGGCCUGGAAGAAGUUGGAAGUGAAGUUAAUACCCAAGGAAUAAGUGAACGCUGGCUGCUAUAGCAGAACAUUCCAGCAGAGCAAGGGUGACCACUGGGGUAGUAUGUGGUCCAGGGUUAGACAGGAUGACAUUGAAGGGACCUCAUUUCUCUGAUAGUCAACAAAACACCACACAUACGCUAGAGCUACGUUUCCUUGGUUUGCUUGGUUUAAUCUGGUCUCCCUUGCUGCUUCUUUCCUCAUACCUUGUCUCCGUGUUUUAAGGACCUAUUUGGUGUUUGCACCUUCUUUUCCAUCUCUUCAACUCCCAUUCAGCCUCAUUUGUUUUUCUAUUUCCCUUUCUUCCUUUUUUCUUUCUAGCUAUUAAGGCACCUGUCAUGUAUCAACCCCCAGGGGCCCGAGUGGCAGCUUCCUUAAUUCAUGGAAUGCCUAAUUUUACCCACUACUUUGGAGAUGGGGCUAGGUUUCCUUUAAAAAGGAAAAAAAAAUUCCCUGGUAGUGUCUGUUUAUAUCUCUAAGGCUCAAAUAAUUGAAAACAGUAUUGUUUGAGGGAAGAUCAUUUCUAAUGAGCAAUACACAAGGAAGAAAAUCUGAUUUUCCCAAGUGAAAUUCCUGACAGACCACGAACUCUGCAAGAAAGAAGCAGAGCACUUCUCUCUAUGGUGACCAAGGCUGAAAUAAUUGUGUACCUGGACCAUCUGCGGCUGCCUUUUCCAGCACCUUCCUGUGGACAGCUCCAGGGCACUCUCUGGAAGCCAGAAUGGACUCCUGCUGAUUCGUCCACAUAUUUGUCUUGAAUGAAAGAAUGGUGUGUGCCAGUGGAUUUCAAAGCUUUUCACAAACCAUCUCCACAUCUGAAGUCUCAAGAGUUUAUGUCGAGCAUUUGUAUUACUUACAACUAAUUAAAUAUACUACCCGUGUUUUACAACAUGAACACAUCUGCUGAUAAUGUUGUAAAUAAUCUGUAUUAUUAUUUAUUUGAAACAAUACACUAGUAAUUAAUGGUUGGUCAGUAACCUUGAAAUCCUGACCUAUUUAUAAUAGAUAUUAAUUAUCACAUGUAUAGCAAAUCUUUUGUUUUUAAGCAUUUCUUCACAAAAGGAUACUUUAGAAGCAUGUUAAGGUGUUUUGUUUCAAAAUCUUUAUUUACUGUGAUCCCAAAAAUAUUGUUUAAAUUCCUAGUUUUAAGAUUUUAAGUAGACUGCCCAAAUGGGUAAACUAUGAUAAUGUUAUUAGGGAAAAAAUGAAGAGACAUAGCAUAUGAUAUGACAUUAUAACGUCUUGUUGAGAAUGUUUGAUGGAAAAACAAAAUCUUGCUGACCCAAUUAAAGGGUGUAGAAAUGAGAACUCUGCACUAGAUUGGAAUACAGAAAUGCUGAGAUGCCUGAUGCUUGCAUGGUAGCUUGGGAUCUGUUCUUCUAUGAAGGAGAUAUAAAUUACCUAGAUCUAACUGAAAGCGGAAAUCAAACUCUGUAAUGGAAAUGAUAUUCUUCCGAGGAGUGCAAAUUCUAUGUUAAAGAUCCCAAAGAGAAUCCUGUUAUUUAAGACUAUGCUGCAGUUGAAUAUUGACAGUAAUUGGUUUCCUCCUCUGCACCGCCCCUCCCCCCCUCGACCUAUCUUAUUUCUACCGUCUUCUCUAAGGUUAUGAAUUUUUGGAUGACUGAUUGGCGGUGAUGAUGCAAUCACUUGAUCCCUGAACACCUGCUCGUUCUGGUCCAGACUAUCCCAGUGCUGUAGCACAGCUGCUCUACGAGGGGACAAAAAUCCCCGGGUCCGCCUUCUCCCCCAUUUCUUCUGAUCUGGUUUAUGGAAACAGUAACUUCUUUUUGGUAUAGUCUAUCAAAAUCAAGAGGAGAAUUGUGCAUAAUGUAAUUUCAAUUCUGAAUACAGAGAAUGAUGAAAACAUUGCUAAAAUAAAAUCCUAUUGAUCCCAGUAGCAAAUAUUUCCAUUUUUUCCCUUUAAUAUACAUAGCUAUGCUACACUACAUAAAACGGAACACAAGUCCCAGUGCCAGUGUGGCCACUUAUCAGUUGUGUGAAUUUGGGAAAAAUCAGUGAGUAGCUCAGAACCUCAUCUGCCUCCUCUGUAAAAUGGGAAUAGAGAAGCUAGCCUGGGUUUCCUCUGGAAAAAAAAUGAAAUACUGCACAGGAGAAUAUACUAUAAUUAGUCUCUAUGGAAAUAAUUAUUUUUUAGCUAUUUAAAGGAUUGACAUAUAUACACUAAUAUGUAUAAAGUGGAUAACUAAUAAGAGCCUUCUGUAGAAAAAAAUAAAAUAAAAUUCAAAAAAAAGAAGAAAAAGCUACUGAAAACAGAACUUGUACAUUUCAGUUUAAGUGGUUAUAAACGUAUUGGCUUUCAUUAUUUAGAAAUAUCUAAGGUCUAUAAGAUAAACUAGAUUGAAUAUUCAAUAACUAAAUAAAUGUUUUUAAUAAGCCAUUAAAAUUAGAAUAUUUUCAUCAA